rnacentral:rRNA from 1 species
AACGGGUGAGUAACACGUAAAGAACCUGCCUCUAGAUGGGACAACUAUUGGAAACGAUAGCUAAUACCGGAUAACAGCAUUAACUGCAUGGUUGAUGUUUAAAAGUUGGUUUUGCUAACACUAUGAGAUGGCUUUGCGGUGCAUUAGCUAGUUGGUGGGGUAAAGGCCUACCAAGGCGACGAUGCAUAGCCGACCUGAGAGGGUGAUCGGCCACACUGGGACUGAGACACGGCCCAGACUCCUACGGGAGGCAGCAGUAGGGAAUCUUCCGCAAUGGGCGAAAGCCUGACGGAGCAACGCCGCGUGAGUGAAGAAGGAUUUCGGUUCGUAAAGCUCUGUUGUUAGGGAAGAAUGAUUGUGUAGUAACUAUAACACCGUAGAGACGUACCUAACCCGAAAGCC